AUCACAAUACAAGCUCUGAUCUAAAACUCAAUGAAAGUCUUUCCACUGACAUUAAAGCCUGUGAGGUGCCCCGAUACUACAGCAGUGGGGACCAUGUGAGUAUGAUGGAGACAGCCAGAUGUCAGUGGGAUUUGGAUCAGGCCUACAGAGAAGUCGGUUUCUCAGAUGCCCCUCUGCCUCUCUCAGCAGCUGCACCAGCAAACACGGGAAGAGUGAACAGAGCCAGAUUCAGCCUGGUGCCCAACACCAUCCGCCUUGGCUUAGCCAUCCUGGUUCUCUGUGUAUUGGGGCUGAUUGUGGGAGAGGCAGUUUACAAGCCAGCCGGCUGCUCCCUGCACCACCUGGAGGAAAGCCAAGAGAGGAGCUGGAAACUCUGGACUGAGCCUCCACAUGCCUGGAUCUGCAGCACUGAAAAUCCCCCAGCGGUCUAGUCUUGUGUCCCAUGGCCAACGCAGGAUGCUUCCAGGCUCUUUCCCACGAGGUCAGAUACGACCCCAGCUCUGGAGGGGUGCCCCAUUAUUGACAGAAGAACUCCGGACCAGGUUUACAAGGGUCCAGCACUCACCAUUGGGGAUGGAGUUUUCAGUUCCCAAUUAGGCACUUACGUAAGUGGGCCAAGAUUUUCCAGAGGUCUCAGUGCCCAUCAUGCACCCAACGCGCUGAGCCCUUUAGACGCUCUUGCCCCGAUGGUGGGAGCCGAGCCCUUCUGACAGUUCCAGCCCUCUACAGGUGACAGCUGCUUAUAUGGGUCAGUUUCUACCUACUGGUGAAAGAAGAACUCUUUACCUCUGCCCACUGCACAAAUAUUGUCAACAGUCCUAAAGAUCCAGCUUAGGGUUGCCAGUUUUGGUUGGACAUGUUCCUGGAGAUUUCAUCACCUGACAUAAUCUUUAAUUAAAGACUGCUCUUUAAUUUCCUGGCGACUCCAGGACAAUCCUGCAGGGUUGGCAACCCUAAUCCACCAGCAUCUGACUUCUGCAGCAGUGAGUUCCACAGGUUGUGUAUAUGUUGCCCAAAGUAGUUCCUUGUGUAGGUUCCAAAUUAAUGGCCCAUUCUUUUCAUCUGCUUAUCAGCACUGGAGACAAGAGUCUUUCCAGGCUGUAAUCCAGUGGUUCUUUCAACCUUUCCAGACCACUGUACCUCUUUCAGGAGGCUGAUUAGUCUUGCGUACCUCCAGGUUUAAUCUCACUUAAAAACAACUUGCUUACAAAAUCAGAC